rnacentral:lncRNA from 1 species
GUCCCCGAGCUCAUCGCCGCGCUGGCCAAGCUCAACCUCGACGCCGCCGACCUCAUCGCGCUCUCCGGCGCCCACACCGUCGGCAUCGCCCACUGCACCUCCUUCACCGGGCGGCUGUACCCGAAGCAGGACGGCACCAUGGACAAGUGGUUCGCCGGCCAGCUCAAGCUGACGUGCCCGAAGAACGACACGGCCAACACCACCGUCAACGACAUCCGGACGCCCAACGCCUUCGACAACAAGUACUACGUCGACCUGCAAAACCGCCAGGGCCUCUUCACCUCCGACCAGGACCUCUUCGUCAACGCCACCACCAGGCCGCUCGUCGCCGAGUUCGCCGUCGACCAGUCGGCGUUCUUCCACCAGUUCGUCUUCUCCGUCGUCAAGAUGGGCCAGAUCCAGGUGCUCACCGGCUCGCAGGGACAGAUCCGGGCAAACUGCUCCGUCCGCAACCCCGGCGCCGCCUCCGCCGACGAGGAGCUCCCGUGGUCCGCCGCCGUGGAGACCGUCGUCGAGGCGGCCGAGAGCAUCGUGCUCUAGACACACAAUUGUGCGCGCCAUGGACGCGUACGUCAGUACGUGUACCGUACGUUGAAUGUGGAAAGAGACGACGACGACUGUGGAUAUAUGUUGGUUACUGCCAUGUCGAAUAAAUGCAUGACGUCAUGACAACCUCCUUUAUGAUCAAUAUAUAUGGAUGUGGAUUUUCAUCUUGCAGGAAACAUCUUUUAUUGUUUGUAUGUUAUCUAAAUAGUUAUUAAAAAUUUAAAAAAUUAUAUAUAAUAACAUAGAUUAUUAUGAAAUAUAUCACUCCAUAAACAUACAAGACCGAAUUCAACUUCUACAAAUUGCAACAAAAAGAACAAAUUAAAUUGAACAUAGUUAUAUAUAUAUUCGCAGCUAUAUUUGUUAUUUUUGUUACAUUAUAGAAGUUGAAUUUAAACUUAAAUGUUUACGGAGUGAUAUAUAUUUCAUAUUAAUAUAUAUUGCCAAAAUUUUUUAUGAUUAUUUUAGGUGGAAUGCACGAAUCGAGAAGAUAUCCCUUGAGUGAUAAAACCACUUUCCCAAUGUAUAUUGCAGAUCACUUCUUUUAAUUAAUUUAAGCCAAAUUUAAGAUUUAAUUAAUUAGGUUGGAGUGGAGGCAGAAGUCACGCACCUGUAGACACACAUGACACAUGCGUUGAGUAUUAAGGCGUACAAUAUUUGUCGGCAACGAUAAUAGAUUAAUAAUUAAUUCAUAAGAUACCUGCAUAAAUAGACGUAUGUACGUAUAUACCAGAAAGAGAGAGAAACAACCUAGUGUCUGAAACUCUAAAGACAUACGUUUGCUGCAUACAUGACAAAAACAUCCCGAUGAUUACUUGAUCCUGAUUAGGCAAUGAUCAACACCAAUCAGUGAUCGAUCCUCGAUCAUCAGCAGAUAGCAAGCACAUGUCGAUUGUUGCUGGCAGCAAGCAAGCUAUAUAUAGUUUGUCACCCUCCAGGUCACAGAUUACUUCAACUGAAGAAGUAUCCGAAUUAACACCAAUAUAUCAAACAAAAUAAAGUAAAGUACAGUACUUUCCGUUUCAGAUUAUAAGACAUUGUAAUUUUGAUCAAAGUCAAAUUAUUUUAAAUUUGACUAAGUUUAUAGACAAUAAUAUUUAUAAUAGUAAAUUAGUUUCAUCAAAUCAAUAAUUUAAUAUAUUUUUAUAAUAAAUUUGUCUUGGGUUGAAAAUGCUACUAUUUUUUUAUAAACUUAAUCAAAGUUAAAGCAGUUUAACUUUAACUAAAAUCAAAAUGUUUUAUAACGGAGGUAGUAAUCAAUAAUUAAUCAGAUCGCCGGCGUCUUGUCUGCUGAUGGAUCAUACAGUAUAAUGGAAUGACGGAUGGUUCCUGUAGAUGGAAUGACGGAUGAGGCUUGUGCAACAGCGGCAUGCCAAGACGCACAAGACGAAGCCGCCAUGGUAGCCCGAGCUGUGGAGGGGAAACUAUUUCUUGAUCUUUCGAGGGAAGGGGAUAUCUCCUCGUUAUUUGCAUAUCACUUAAAUAAUCAGACGACAUCUAAACUAAGAAUCAUAUAUACAUAUCUAUCAGUCCAAUGGAUCAUCUACGAGAAGUCGUUGUUCAUCAGGAGCAGGAGGGUUGCCGUGGAGGGUAUACAGCAUGGCUUUUGUGCCGCAGCCGGAUGCCAUGAGGAAGAGGAAGAUGGCGAGGGCGAGGAGGAAGACGGCAAGGGCUCCAUGGUGGGAGCGGUAGUACUUCACCAUGAGGACGCCGACGCCGAUUGUCGUGACAGCUAGGCAGGCCAAGAAGGCCACCAGACCGUAGUCGUUGUCGAUCCCGACAUCCCGCUCCGCCAUGGCGGUGAAGUAGUAAUCGUCAUCGCCGUCGCCGCCGCCGUCGCCGCCAUAACCAUCGUAGUUAGGGUUCUCUAGAUCGCCCAUUAUUUAUUGUUCUUCGAUAAUAAUUAAUUCUGAUAUAUGCCUCUCUCUGCUAAUGUACUAGCUAGAGAUCACGAUCGAUGUAUGUGUGGUUGUUGAUUGGUACUAUUUGUUUGUGCGGAUUGCAAUUAGGUUCGAAUUAGGCUCGGAUUAUCUCGUUCAAUUCGGUCACGCAUGCAUACUCUAAGUAAAACAGUCACGGAUCGAUCGGGUACCAUAUAUGCUUAACCAUAUACCAAAUUAAAUAAAGGAGAAAUAUAAUUUCUACCAACACGGGUGUUAUCGUCUCCUGGCUGGGCUGCCCUCUCUCCCCUCUAUGGCACAUGGCUGCAUGAUUGGUGGCCAUCUUCUAGGGCUUGUUUACCUGAUCAUCUCCGUGCCAGCUUCGACUCCCUGGUCCUCCUAGUCUCAUGGCAACUGUGGAGGGAACGUAACUCCAGGGUCCUUGACUCUGUGCUCUCUUCGGUCGCAGUAGUCCUAGAGGUCAUCCUUUUGGAGGGCCGGCUGUGGUCGUUAGCGGCCGUCACUUACUUUGGGGAAUUGUUGGGAGCGUAGAGUGGCUCUGCUCCCUUCCGCUGUUUGGAGUAGAGCUUUUCGAGUUUUUUUUCCUUUCCUUUCUUUGUUUUUUAUCUUUGUUUUCUUCCUUACUUGGCAUAGGCCGGUCUGGCUGAGUGAGUCGUGUAUCAAAACUCUAUUCUUCUAAUAUAUUGACAUGCAAUUCUUUUGCGCGUUCGCGAAAAUAAUUUCUAGCAACAAUUAAUCAAUCAAAUAAGUAAAAUACCCUAUACCUCUGUUUUUAAAUAGAUGAAAUCGUUGACGUUGGGAAUACGUUUGACCAUUUUCAUCUAAUUCAAAAGAAGAUGGUUUUUCAUCCCUAGAUAUACCCUUUUAAUUGCAAAAAAAGGUUGAUAUACAUUAAUAAGAGAUAUUGACUUAAAAAAUAUAUAAUGAAACUACAAAUUGUAACAAGGUACUUUUAUAACAGAUAUAUCGCAUAAAAAAUAUAGAAGUUAAAUUUGACUUAUUUGUAACAAUAAAAAAAAUAAAUUAAACUAAAACUUGCUAAAACAUACAUCUAGAACUAUAUUUGUUCCUUUUGGUUAUAACUUAGUAGAAGUUUUCGCAAACCCGCAUUACACGUCAAUAUAUAUUAGAAGGAACUUAUAUAAGUCAAAUUAAGUUUUCGCAAACGUGCAAAAGGAUUACACGUCAAUAUAUAUUAGAAGGAACUUAUAUAUAAGUCAAAUUUUACUUAUAUAAUGUUCGUGGAAUGGUAUAUCAUAUAUUAAUAAUGGAUCAUCUACUACAGGAAGCCUGUAACAUUGUUCGAAGGGAGGGUGGCAAAUUGCACGACGAGGAAGCAACAGACGAAUGCCAAGAAGAAGAAGAAAAAGAAGCUGAGCACGAGGAGUAAGACGGCAUCCGCUCCGUGAUGGGACCCGUACGUGGUGGAAGUGCAGUGGAUGGCGUAGCAGACCACAAUGCAUGUAUUGAACACUCACGGAUCGAUCGAGUAUACUGAUCAUGUUUGAAUUCGGAAAAGAAACUUUCGUCAAAAUUUUCUAACUAGCAACACGAUUGCAAGAAUCGAUAUGAUAAAAAAAAAGACGUGUAUUUUAAAUUUAAAGUUUUAAUUUGUGAUCAUACGUGACAAACAGCGCCCUGUUUUCAUCACUGACGUAGCUAGCAACUAGCUUCCAUCCAAAGAAGAAUUAAGAGCUAGCCCAUAGAUUGAUUAAUUUGUUUACAUUGCAUAUGUACGUACAUUCAUGUAGUGCUGAAUUGAAGGUACGUUAAUCAUUCUCGAUCCCCUCAACUCCGUGCGGACUACUAAUCAACAUGCAUGGAAGUUGAUAUAUGAAAAAUUAAUCCUAAAGAGAGAAAUUUGACCUUGCCUAGCUAGCUUGUCAAGUCAAAUGAUCAUUCGUUUGCGAAGGAGGCAACGUAACGACUAACGACUAGCUAGGUAGCAUCUGCAACGUUUGUACGUACUACGUAGUACAUCGGAUCGUACGUACUGGCCGGCCGGUUUGGGUGAUCGAUGAACUCGAUCGCUCGAUCACACGCAACUGAUAAAAUAGAACAAUCGAUGGAAGCUACUAGCUCACAUUAUUGAGACAAAACGCAACACAGGUAGCAAUUUUUGCCAACCUUCAUACAGCUGCGCGAAAUGGAUGAUUUUGUAGGUAGUCGAUUGCGUUGACAUUUUGACAUCAUUUUGUAUAUGCGAAAAUGGAUUUUGUAGGUGCGAACGAGCAAACGCCUAUAAAUUGAUGAAGACACUCGCAUGCAAGCUCAUUCACCCCAACUCCAAGACACAAAAUUAAGCCGAUCGAGAUGGCGAGAAAAAUGAGCAGCACGUUGCAGGUUUUGGUCGUUUCCUGCUGCAGCUUGCUGCUUCUGUGUGCUCCGGCGGCCUCCGCCGGCGAUUACCCGCCGACGGCGAAGGGCUUGUCGUACGGUUUCUACCAGAGGAGCUGUCCCAAGGCGGAGACCAUCGUGAGGAGCUUCCUCAAGAAGGCCAUCCGCAACGACGUCGGCCUCGCCCCCGGCCUCAUCCGUCUCCACUUCCAUGACUGCUUCGUCCAGGCAAUUAACUAAUUGAUUAAAAUUAAUUGAUUAUACACCUAAUCAUGCAUAAUGCAUGUGCAAAAUGAUGAAAUUACGCCUCAAACAUGCUCUGAAUUUUGAAUUCUGGAUUGAACAGAUCGAUCGAUACUAUAUUUAAACACGCAUCUGUGACGGGUAAUUAUUCGCGAACCGCCACUAAUAAUUGUGCUGCGCUGUGCGUGCAGGGUUGCGACGCGUCGGUGCUGUUGGCGCGCACGGCGACGGAGGCGAGCGAGCUGGACGCUCCACCCAACGAGACCAUCCGCCCGUCGGCGUUGAUGGCCGUCGCCCAACUCCGCGCCCUGCUCGACGACGCGUGCAGCGGGGCCGUCGUCUCCUGCGCUGACAUCCUCACCCUCGCCGCGCGCGACUCCGUCCGCCUGGUCGGCGGGCCGGAGUACAGGGUCCCCCUGGGCCGGCGCGACGGCGCGACGAUCGCGGCGAGGGAGCGCGUCGUCGCCGCGUUCCCGCCGCCGAGCUCCAACGUGACGGCGCUCCUCGCCGCCGUGGCCAAGAUCGGCCUCGACGCCGCCGACCUCGUGGCGCUCUCCGGCGCGCACACGCUCGGCGUCUCCCGCUGCAUCUCCUUCGACGACCGCCUCUUCCCGCAGGUGGACGCCACCAUGGACGCGCGGUUCGCCGCCCACCUCAGGCUCUCCUGCCCGGCCAAGAACACCACCAACACCACCGCCAUCGACGUACGGACGCCCAACGCCUUCGACAACAAGUACUACGUCGACCUGCUCAGCCGGCAGGGGCUCCUGACCUCCGAUCAGGUGCUGUUCAGCGACGGCAGGACGAGGGGCCUCGUCGGCAGGUUCGCCGUCGACCAGCCGGAGUUCUUCCGCCGCUUCGCCUUCUCCAUGGUGAAGAUGUCGCAGAUCCAGGUGAUGACGGGAGUGCAGGGGGAGAUCCGCACCAACUGCUCGGUGCGCAACGCCGCCGGCGGUGGCACCUAGCUGGAGCUCAAUUACUCUUUGCUCCGAUGAAGAACUCGGAGCUUGCAUGUAGCACGUUUUACUCGGGGUGGAUUUUAAAUUUUUAAUCACUCGAGAGAAUAUUCUCUCGUGUAUCUUUUUCUUCUAAAUUCGAUACAAAUAAUUAUGAAAAAUUCUAAUAAAACUAGCGAAAUGCCCAUGCGUUGCACUGGGUGAAGACAAAAAUAAAUAGUAAUGGGCGUGUGGGAGCAUAAUGCCACCAGGUUAAUUGAGAUCCUUAUAGUCAAAUCGAAUCUUUUCGGUGCAAGUAAGACGCUAACAUGACAUAAUUAUUCGUUGCUCUAAAUCCAUUCACAUGGAUUAUAAGAAAGCUAUUAAUACCACUUUAAAAUGAAAUUAUGUAUUAUACAUACUAAAGUUUGAAACCCAAAAAGUAUUUAUUUUUGUCAUGUAUUAUUAUGAGUCGGUUGCAAUGCAUGGUUAUAUUUUUGUACUUGAUAUUGAUAAACACUUUUUUUUACAUACUGCAAGAGUAGUAAUAGUACAAGAAAUGUUUUUCGCUAGCUAUCAGAUAAAUCUCACUGUACUCCAAUUGCAUAAUCGCUUUCACUCAAAAAAUCAGAAGGAAAUCGUACGAUGAAUGGAAAGAAAAAAAAAAGUGGUGUAUCAUCUCACUCUAAAAAAAUUAGAACAAAAACAUACAACGAAUGAAAAAAAAUUGAUGUGGAUGAGGGAAAAAAUCUGGAUGUAAACACGAUUCAUUUUGUUGGUGACUACAUGUUUUUUUAAAAAACAAAGACACGUGAUUGUUUUCUAUUUUCUAAAAGUAAUUUAUUUUGUCAGUAAAUAAUUCAUUUUGUUGGUGGUUACAUGUUUUUUUAAAAAAGAAAGACAUGUGAUUUUUUUUUUACUUUCCCAAAAUAAUGAAAUUGUUCCUUUUUUUAAAUCCAAUUCCUAGUAGACACAGAUCCAAACACAAACUUUAUUUAGUGUUAAUAAUCUCAGGCAAGCCUCCUAUUUAGGUGGUAUUAUUCGUGCUACAGUGCUCGGUUACUACUAUAUCACGCAGAACUAUGUUGUGCUGGGCUGCUGCUUCUCUGCUCUGUAGGCUGGCUGCCGGGCUGCUCGCUAGGUUUCUCUUUUUUUUUUCCAUUCUCUUUUAUUUGCGGAGCUCAGAGAUCGUCGUAAUGCAUCCGGAUUCACGGAUUAGCGGCGAAAUAAUCACGUGGGCCCACCCUUUAAUGACGGAAGAAAAAAAUCAACCGAAAACCUUACUUAUUUUUUAAUUAGGUAUAGAUAUAGAUAUAGAUUUGACAAUGUAGAGUAUAGUGAUAUCUAUCGGUCCACCAAAAAUCAAGCUAAAAUUUGACAUACCCACUAAGAUUAAAAAAAGAGAGACAAAUUUUGUAUACAAUAUGCUACUAUUCAUAAGUUUGUCUUUUCUAUAUGUCGAUGUGUGAGUUGAGUUUGGAUCUAAAAUUUUGUGGAGUUGUAUAGAUAUGUUGUACGAACAUUAUCAAAUUUUAUAUAAUUUUUUUAUAACUGUUUGGAUGAUAUUUUUUUAAAAUAACCGUUUGGGUGGAUUAUAAAAUGCAGCUAGGCAGCUAGCAUCCAUCAAAAUAGUUUCCCCGCUUUAUGUACGCUCAUCGGUUGCUAGUCUGUUAAUGCUAGCUGCAUUUUAUAAUCCGCAUGUUAGUUCAGAGAUCAAACUUUGAUAUUUGAAGGAAUGAAUAAAAUAAAAUUUGUUUGGGAAUCGAUUGCUUAUGCACCCUGCGAAAAAGUGGCGGUUCAGCCUUCAAAAUUUUUUGGGCCUACUAACUUCGAUGGGCCGUUUUUUUUAGCCCAUGCAGAAGACAGAAGUGUAGGACAUUGACGUGACAACCUAACCAUGCACAUAUUGGAUGCAUGCGCAUAUUGGAUCACAUAGAUAUAUGCACAGACAGGGGUGGAUCCAACGUGGGUGCGGGGGGUUUCGAGUCCCCCCUACACCCACAAGGCCCAUGGAUACCUCCCAGAGCAUCCCCUUUAAUUUUUUUAAAAUGAAUGAUAAACUUAAGGCUUCUAAAUGGCUGGAGGUUGAACAAACUGUGUAAUUGAGCCCCCCUCCUCCCAAUUUUUGUUCUUGGAUCUGCCCCUGUGCACAGAGGAUGGAGUAUGUGAAGUGAAGGUCAAGAGUUCGUCAGGCAUAACCAAUUACGGCUGUGUUCGUUACUACUGGUUGGGAACAAAUCUCUUGGCACAUAAAAUGGAGCGGCUCAUUAGCAGCUACUCCCUCCAUUUCAGGUUAUAAGACAUUUUGAGUUUAGUGAAAGUCAAACUGCUUUAAGUUUGACCAAGUUUACAGAAAAAGUAGUAACAUUUUUAACCCAAGACAAAAUUAUUAUGAAAAUAUAUUCAAUUAUUGAUUUGAUGAAACUAAUUUAGUAUUAUCAAUAUUAAUAUAUUUGUCUAUAAACUUAAUCAAGCUUGAAAUAAUUUGACUUUGAGCAAAGUCAAAACGUCUUAUAACCUGAAUUGGAUGGAGCAUUUUUUUGAAAAAUAGAUUAAUAUGAUUUUUUAAGCAAUUUUCGUAUAGAAUUUUUUUGCAAAAAACACACCGUUUAGCGGUUUGAAAAGUGUAUGUGUAAAAAACGAAGAAGAUGAGUUGAGAAAGCUAGGAAAGAAGUCAGUCUAAGCUCGUCGGCAUAGCACUUAAUCUGCUUUACCUGAGUGGUGGCCGGUCCUGGCCUUGUACAAGGGGCUGACGGCCUGAGGCUGAACCCCGUGAAACACCACCACCUCUUCUUCAACAGUUCAACUCGAGCGGGGGCGAUGGAAAAAGCAAUAGCAGGGGACAUGAAUAUUCCAACUUUCCAGGACAUCUUUCUGAAUUCUGAUGGUGGUGGGCAAUGUGAGACUGAAAAAAAUCGAUAUGGGAGAGAGAGAGAGGUCAGAAAUGGAGAUGGAGGGGAUGAUAGGUGGAACCCACUCUAUUUUUUUUAAUGAUUGGGAUGUCACGUGAACACCAAGUCAACGAAAAACCGCUUUUAAAAACAGUUGAUGUAGUCAUUUUAAACGGUUUUGAUAGUUAGAGGGGUCGAUUUAUCUAGUUUUAUGGUUGAGGAAUAUGAAUCGGAUUCAAUUUAUAUUUGUGUGAGUAGUUAAAUUUGCUUGUGUUUUUCUUUCUUCAUCAGCUUAUUCUUAUUUUUCAAUGAUGAUAAACUGAUCAGCGUAGCCGCCGGCCCGUCGCCCACCCUUAAACAACGACAGCUAAUUUAUGCAUGCAUGGAUUCCGAUGGAGGAGCUGUGUGCACCACUCAUUCGUAAGACUUCUUUCGAAUAAUUCAACGGAAGAAGGUUGAACCAUUUGAAGCGAAUCACACAUUAUUGAUCUUUCUCUCCAAAGAAUCGUGCUAGCUCGUUGGAAAAAAGGGGAAAAAAAAACGGCGAGCCUAGCUAUAAUUCAAUUUGCGAGAUUACACAUAUGUGAAAAAUCGCCAAGUUAAGGGUUUUUCUUUAUACAUAACUAAAUUUGCUACUAAUCCUUAUAUAGCCGCCUAUGAGCAUUUGUGCAUUGUACUAUGCACCAACCUCCACUUGUAAAGUUUCAACCAAAAAGAAAAAAAAAGCCAUCCACUUGUGCUGCCAAUUUGCUCAAUCCCGACAAGCUCGCUCGAUCGUUCGCCGCAUCAGCCAGUCUCAGUCCGCUGCAAUUUGUUCGCGCAUGCGUUCAUAUAAUAGACCUAUCAUAGAUUUUUCGACGAUUCCAACGACCUCGUGGAAAAAUCGCAGAUGCACGCACCAAAUCCAUCAAUUUCAUCACGACACUCGCAAGUAGUGCGCGUCCGCUAUAAAAGCGAUGGAAAUCCUCGGAGGACGGCACACGGUUGAUCGAUCAGUACGAGUACGACGAGAGCUAAGUAAACUUAGCUAUAUCGAUCGACCAUGGCGUCCAGGACUAGUGCUACUGCCGGCAUGCUGCUGCUCGCCGCCGCGGCUGCGCUGGUGUGCAGCUCGGCGGCGGCGAGGAUGCCGCCGUUGGCGAAGGGGUUGUCGUUGGGCUACUACGACGCGAGUUGCCCGCAGGCGGAGGCCGUCGUGUUCGAGUUCCUGCAGGACGCCAUCGCCAAGGACGUCGGCCUCGCCGCGGCGCUGAUCCGGCUCCACUUCCACGACUGCUUCGUCCAGGGCUGCGACGCCUCCAUCCUGCUCGACAGCACACCCACCGAGAAGAGCGAGAAGUUGGCGCCGCCGAACAAGACCCUCCGCAAGUCGGCGUUCGACGCCAUCGACGAUCUCCGCGACCUGCUCGACAGGGAAUGCGGCGACACCGUCGUGUCCUGCUCCGACAUCGUCACCCUCGCCGCCCGCGACUCCGUCCUCCUCGCCGGUGGCCCGUGGUACGAUGUUCCCCUCGGCCGCCACGACGGCUCCAGUUUCGCGUCUGAGGACGCCGUCCUGAGCGCGCUCCCGUCGCCGGACUCCAACGUCACCACGCUCCUCGAAGCGCUGGGCAAGCUCAAGCUCGACGCCCACGACCUCGUCGCCCUCUCCGGCGCGCACACCGUCGGCAUCGCGCACUGCACUUCCUUCGACAAGCGCCUCUUCCCUCAAGUCGACCCCACCAUGGACAAGUGGUUCGCCGGCCACCUCAAGGUCACCUGCCCGGUGCUGAACACCAACGACACCACCGUCAACGACAUCCGGACGCCCAACACCUUCGACAACAAGUACUACGUCGACCUGCAAAACCGCCAGGGCCUCUUCACCUCCGACCAGGGCCUCUUCUUCAACGCAACCACCAAGCCGAUCGUCACCAAGUUCGCCGUCGACCAGUCGGCCUUCUUCGACCAGUACGUCUACUCCGUCGUCAAGAUGGGCAUGAUCGAGGUGCUCACCGGCUCGCAGGGGCAGAUCCGCAAGCGCUGUUCGGUGUCCAACGCCGCCGCCGCCGGCGACCGUGCUUGGUCCGUCGUGGAGACCGUCGCUGAGGCCGCCGAGAGCUUGGUGCUGUAGGGUGCUAACAAGGAUGGCUAGUUUAAUUAAGCUUAUUUCCUUGAUAAAUAUUUUGUUGCUUCCAAAUGUCAUGAGUAUGUACACUUGCGUGUAUUUUGUAGCUUAUUUUUUAUUUGCAAAUAAAGUUGAAUAUAUGAAAACUAUUUAAAUCCCUCGAGAGGAUAUCCCCUCGUUUGCUUAAAAACAUCAAAACGGUUAUGAAAAAUUCUGGAAAAUUUUGACAAUAUUCAUAUAACAUAUCUAUACAGCUCCACAAAAUCUUAAGUCCAAAUGUGAUUCACACGUCGAGAUAUAAAAAGACAAAUUCAACCUCUACAUUGUUUUUUUUUCAGAAAUUUUCACAACUAUUUAUAUCAAAUUUGAAAGAAAAAAGGUGUACGAGGGGAUAUCCCCUCGAGGGAUCAGAAUCUACUCCCCAAAUAUAUAGGAUUUAUUGGAUCCAUGCAACUUUGGUGAUUUGGAAAUCAACCAUUACAAUUCAAGAAAUCACCUAGUAUAGGAGAACCUUGGCUAUUGAUUUUGCGUAUAGUAAGCCAAACUUAACCUUAAGUAGAAACUAAGCAAUCUAACAAACAAUGUGGGUGGCUAAUCAUUUUUUAUAAGGAUAUUUUUUUACCUGGCCUCUACAUCCAACCAGAUAUAUGCAGUCUUUUUAAAUUAGGAACUUAUCCUAUCAAACAAAAAACUUAGCCCUCAAAUAACCCAAUCUGAAAUUCGUUUCAAUAAAGAUUUGAAUUCAAGAUAAUCAUGUUCAUGUUUGAGCUCGAUCGGAAUCACAAUUCAGAUGAAUACUGAAUUUAAAAUCAAAUCAAAAUUAAAUCAUCAGACGGCGUCUAAUGGAUGAUCAACAGCAGCAGCAACCCUGUCUUCUUCCAGGGGAAGGCUGCCGUGGAUGGCGAGUUGCACGAGACCUAUGCAACAGAAGCACACGGAUAGGAAGACGAAGACGGACAGCACGAGGAGGAAGACGGCCAGCGCUCCAUGGCCAUGGUGGGAGCGGUAGUAGAGCACCAUGAGGACGCCAAUGGCGAUCAGCGCGCCGGGUAGGCAGGCGAAGAACACCGCCGCGCCGUAGCCGCUCUCGCCGUCCCGCUCCGCCACGGCGGUGACGGUGAUGCCGCCGCCGCCGCCGCUUUGUACAUCGGCCAUAAUAUAUUACUGUAUUUGCUUCGAUAAUUUGAUUCGAUUCGAUGCCUCUUGUUUCUCUUGUCUGUGCGGAUUGCAAGCAGUGCAAGUCAAUUCUGUAAAAAUAAAAAAAGUUGCAGGGUAAGUCAGUUAUUCGAUUCGGUCAUGGUGCGUUUCGAAUAUCCAUACUGAUCUUGUUUGAGUUUGGAAAGGAAUCCUCUAGAGAAAUUGAGGAGGAAAAUAAUUUCCUUGAUAGCAAACCCAGAUCGAUAAAGAAAACAGGACAUGCAUGCACCUUCCUUGGAUUAUAUCUCUAGCUAGGAAGUGGAUAAAACGAGUGUACAUGUCCACUCGAGUGAUAAAGGAUCACCAAAUCCUCUCCCUAGUUUCUUGAUCAGCAAAAGUUUGUUGCUUCCAUUAAUUUGCCAGUACGUACAUGCGUGCGUGUAUUCUUGUAGCCUUACAUCUUUUCAAAUAAAGUCAAAUAAACUGAAAUCUGGUAUGUAUCUUUUAUUACAAACACGUAAAAUGAGACUAUUAACUACUCAUCCUUUUAACGUUUAAUCCAUCUUAAAAACUCUGUAAUGCACACAAACAAUGCAACGGCAGUGUAUCAGGGGACAGACCGGCCGGCCGGAUGAAUGAUGGGCACGGUGACUACUAGUGUGGCUGGACUGGUACAGUAGUUGCUAGUGGCUGAUCUGCAACAUAGCGCCAGGUGCAACCUCUCUCAUCCGCCACGACUCAGUACGUGUACGCUCUUGUGCUGCACAGGCGGAAGAGGAUUUUGAUUCCCUCGAGUUAUUUGCAUGUCACUCAAAUGGUUAUAAAGAAAAUUAAAAAAAUUAGAAAGAUAUAUUAACAUGUGAUAUAUCACUCCAUAAACAUGCAAAUAAAAAUUCAACUUCUAUAUCUCGCAAAAAAACAGAUUUGACUUUAAAUAUACGUUAACUAGCUGUAGUUUAAUUUGUUUUUUUGUUACGAGAUGUAGAAGUUGAAUUUGAACUUGCAUGUUCGUGGAGUGUUAUAUCACAUGUUAAUAUACAUUCUCAAUUUUUUUAUAACCAUUUAAGUGAUAUGCAAAGAACAAGAAGAUAUCCCCUUGAGGGAUUAGAAUUGUUUCUAUGCACAGUGAUAUGUGAACCAACAAGAUUGUUGUCGGACUAAUGCCUCACUGCUUGGUCAAUGAAAGUGGCUAAAACCACACUUCAAUUUGUGCACCAUGCAUGACACUCAGAUUAUUCGAUAUAUCUGAACGAACACGUACAACCUACUCGAUCAUAUGAUGCUAAAGUAGAUGAGAAUUUUCAGAAUAUGCCAUUCAAUUCACAUCAUCUUCAAGAUUUUUCACUUAAUUCUUAGCACUUUCAGAUCAUGCCACCGAGGUUCUUAGUUUGCUGCGUUUAUAGCAAACGUGUACACGGUAUGGGCAGGAACAGCAGAGUGGUCGACGUGUUUGGCCAAGAGCGCUACCCUGCACUCCCAACUCCUGGAGAAACCGAUAAAAUCAACAGUACACCGACACCCAGGACGUAGGGAGAUAGGAUCGGUUGUUCUCUUCUCGCCCAUAUCUUGCAUCUCACAAAGCAUCCUGCAUUCACCUACGUCAACAUGCAUGCAUGACAAGUUUGAUUAAUAAUAUUUUAAAUGUCCAAAAACAAAAUCCCUAUCAAUUAUGAAACUAUUUUGAUCCAUCCAUAAAUAUUCCCUCGUUAUUUACAUGUCACUUAAAUGAUCAUGAAAAAAAAUUAAAAACUAUAGAGAAGAUAUAUUAAUAUAUAAUAUAUCACUCUACAAAUAUACUAGUUCAAAUUCUACAUCUCGUAAAAAAAAUUAAAUUACAGCCAGUGAACAUAUACUCACAGUCAAAUUUGUUUUUUGACUGUGAGAUGUAAAAAUUGAAUUUGAACAUAUAUCAUAUGUUAAUACAUCUUCUCAAAAUUUUUCUAGUAACAUGCAAACAACGAGAGGAAAUCCUAUGGAGAUAUCAAAAUAUACUCCCCUAUAAAUUGAAGCCUACAGCUGCGUAUGUUCAGUACGAGCUUACACUUAGAGCAGUAGAAAUACAAUUACGGGAGGAAAUGGCUUCUGCGACGACGCUGGUAAUGCUGGUAGCUGCCGUCGCUUGCCUGUGCGCUCCGGCGGCUGCCGGCGACGGCAACGCCGACGCGACGCGGCAGCCGCCGGUGGUGAGUGGCCUGUCGUUCGACUUCUACAGGAAGAGCUGCCCCAAGGCGGAGUCCGUCGUGAGGAAGUUCGUCAGGGACGCCGUCCGCAAGGACAUCGGCCUCGCCGCCGGCCUGCUCCGGCUCCACUUCCACGACUGCUUCGUGCAGGGCUGCGACGCCUCCGUGCUGCUCGACGGCUCCGCCACCGGCCCCGGCGAGCGGCAGGCGCCGCCCAACCUCACGCUGCGCCCGUCAGCGUUCAAGGCCGUCAACGACAUCCGCGACCGCCUUGAGAAGGCGUGCGGCGCCUCCGUCGUCUCCUGCUCCGACAUCCUCGCUCUCGCCGCCCGCGACUCUGUCGUCGCGGUAAACGUAUAAAUUUAGAGUCUUACAGUUUGCAUGAUCGUGAGGGCGUGUUGUGUAUAAUCGAAAAUUAUUUAUACUUUUUAAGUAAAUUUUAUAGAACUAUAUAUACUUGAUCAAAUUAUUGUAAAAAUACAGAUUUAAGAUAAUGUAUUAGAAAUAUAUAUUUAACAAUAAAUUUAUCAUAAAAACUAUAGAUUUAAUAAUUAAUUAGCACAAAAUUAUAGCUUAUAGGGUUUAAAUUCUUAGCAUUUAUGUUAUGCCUGAGUUAUAAAUAUCCAAGUUUUUUACUAAAUCAAUAUUUAUGAAAUUUCACAAUUUAUAGUUUUAUGAUAAUUUAAAGUAUCUGAAAUUUACUUUUACUAUUAUUAUUUUUGACGUGUAGUCAGGAGGGCCGGAGUACAAGGUGCCACUGGGGCGGCGAGACAGCGCCGAGUUCGCGUCGCAGCAGGACGUGCUGAGCGGGCUGCCGCCGCCGACCGCCGCCGUGCCGGCGCUGCUGGACGCCCUGGCCAAGAUCAAGCUCGACGCCACCGACCUGGUGGCGCUCUCCGGCGGCCACACCGUGGGCCUCGCGCACUGCAGCUCCUUCGAGGGCCGCCUCUUCCCGCGCCGGGACCCGGCCAUGAACGCCACCUUCGCCGGCCGGCUCCGGCGAACCUGCCCGGCGGCGGGCACCGACCGCCGGACGCCGAACGACGUCCGGACGCCCAACGUGUUCGACAACAUGUACUACGUCAACCUUGUCAACCGGGAGGGGCUCUUCACCUCCGACCAGGACCUCUUCGCCGACGCCGCCACCAAGCCCAUCGUCGAAAAGUUCGCCGCCGACGAGAAGGCAUUCUUCGACCAGUUCGCCGUGUCC